rnacentral:rRNA from 1 species
AGAGUUUGAUCCUGGCUCAGGAUGAACGCUGGCGGCGUGCCUAAUACAUGCAAGUCGAACGCUUUGUGGUUCAACUGAUUUGAAGAGCUUGCUCAGAUAUGACGAUGGACAUUGCAAAGAGUGGCGAACGGGUGAGUAACACGUGGGAAACCUACCUCUUAGCAGGGGAUAACAUUUGGAAACAGAUGCUAAUACCGUAUAACAAUAGCAACCGCAUGGUUGCUACUUAAAAGAUGGUUCUGCUAUCACUAAGAGAUGGUCCCGCGGUGCAUUAGUUAGUUGGUGAGGUAAUGGCUCACCAAGACGAUGAUGCAUAGCCGAGUUGAGAGACUGAUCGGCCACAUUGGGACUGAGACACGGCCCAUACUCCUACGGGAGGCAGCAGUAGGGAAUCUUCCACAAUGGGCGAAAGCCUGAUGGAGCAACGCCGCGUGUGUGAUGAAGGGUUUCGGCUCGUAAAACACUGUUGUAAGAGAAGAAUGACAUUGAGAGUAACUGUUCAAUGUGUGACGGUAUCUUACCAGAAAGGAACGGCUAAAUACGUGCCAGCAGCCGCGGUAAUACGUAUGUUCCAAGCGUUAUCCGGAUUUAUUGGGCGUAAAGCGAGCGCAGACGGUUAUUUAAGUCUGAAGUGAAAGCCCUCAGCUCAACUGAGGAAUUGCUUUGGAAACUGGAUGACUUGAGUGCAGUAGAGGAAAGUGGAACUCCAUGUGUAGCGGUGAAAUGCGUAGAUAUAUGGAAGAACACCAGUGGCGAAGGCGGCUUUCUGGACUGUAACUGACGUUGAGGCUCGAAAGUGUGGGUAGCAAACAGGAUUAGAUACCCUGGUAGUCCACACCGUAAACGAUGAGUGCUAGGUGUUUGAGGGUUUCCGCCCUUAAGUGCCGCAGCUAACGCAUUAAGCACUCCGCCUGGGGAGUACGACCGCAAGGUUGAAACUCAAAGGAAUUGACGGGGACCCGCACAAGCGGUGGAGCAUGUGGUUUAAUUCGAUGCAACGCGAAGAACCUUA